UGGGGAAUAUUGGACAAUGGGGGGAACCCUGAUCCAGCCAUGCCGCGUGUGUGAAGAAGGCCUUAUGGUUGUAAAGCACUUUAAGCGAGGAGGAGGGUACUGGCAUUAAUACUACCAGGUACUGGACGUUACUCGCAGAAUAAGCACCGGCUAACUCUGUGCCAGCAGCCGCGGUAAUACAGAGGGUGCGAGCGUUAAUCGGAUUUACUGGGGGUAAAGCGUGCGUAGGCGGCUAAUUGAGUCGGAUGUGAAAUCCCCGGGCUUAACUUGGGAAUUGCAUUGGAUACUGGUUAGCUAGAGUGAGGGAGAGGAUGGUAGAAUUCCAGGUGUGGCGGUGAAAUGCGUAGAGAUCUGGGGGAAUACCGAUGGCGAAGGCAGCCAUCUGGCCUAACACUGACGCUGAGGUACGAAAGCAUGGGGAGCAAACAGG
rnacentral:rRNA from 1 species